GUUGUCGUGGUCCGCAUGGAUUGUUGGCCAACCAUGUAGUUUGUGCGGUGGGAAUCAGUGUUGGCAGAGACUGUGUGGUGACCGUGUUUUUGCUGUUGCAGAGCAGGGGGAGUAUUUGAAGAAAAAUCUGUGAACACCCGUGAAUGUGUCUCCUUUAUAAUGCAGCACUACCGAGGCUGGCAGAUGGACCCUUGCAUGACGUCAAACCUGGUGACUUUGUGCUGAUAAAGAACUUCACGUUUUCCGCCGGGAGACAUCAGCGCUGCCUGGGCCCUUUCCAAGUUCUCCUCAUGACCAACACUGCAGUGAAGGUCAUUGAAAGGGUUAUGUGGGUUAACACAUCACACUGUGUGAACAUCCCAGUGCCUCCCCAUCUUCUCCGGCGAUUGACCUUAAAAGUUAUCAAGGUAAUAGAAAUGGUUUGUCAUAAGGGUGUGACUGCUAGCUAGACCUGACAGACAACUUGCAGGAAGAGAUGUCCAUGGAUUACUUAACAUAAAAACAAUCGGCUGAAAUGGUCCAGUCUUCCGGGAUCUCCUCCUGUCCGGCGAGAGCCUUUCUCACCUGUUCUUGAAAAACCACACAACUCUCUUCCUUUCUCAGCAUGCACCACAUGGUUCCCUGCUCUGCCUUGUCUUCCUAAUCUUCCUCCUCAUCACAAGUCAUCUUACACACCACCAUCCUAUGAUAUUUAGCCAUACA